CCCAAUCCUAACCCAAUUCUAGCCGUUGCGUAUAAAAUGCUUAACAUGCUAUUUCAUCAGAAUCGGGAUUAUACCAACAAUUCAUUCUCGGGCGAUAACAAAGUUAUCUAGUUGACAAGGCACAGAUUUGAGUUUAAUGACAUUUGUAAAAACGCAUGCCUUGCCGCUUUGUGAUCAGAAUAUAUAAGUGAUUUGUUAAUUAGUGGUGAACAUUUUAUUAAGUUUUGAAACUAAUGGUAGAAACUAAUGCUUCCCGCACCUUAGGCGUUUUCGACAGAGCCUCUCAAAAAUACAGCUAAAGGUCCACCACCUGGUUUCUUUCACGUACAGAAUCAAUCAAGACAUACAUCAGCAAUUGGGAGCAACAAUUUACAGGGACUGGUGGAAAUUCCUUUGCUUCGGGUGCGAUGAGAAACAACGAGUGGUCAAGGACGAAUUGGCUAGAUGAACAUGUCGUCACUCGCUCUGCCGUGUAUGGUUUUUUUUAUCAUAAACUCUGCAGGAAAUUGAAUUUCUACGAGCCUGACGAUACACAUAGGAGCCUCAAAUGCAGGGAAAAUCGUCGCUUGUGCCCACCUAGCGCCAUCUUUAGGACAUCUGACAAAUUUCUCAAAUUAGUUUUAUCAGUCCAACACAACUUAUAUAGCCCAUAUGACGUAAAAUGUUUCAGUUAUAAAGUUACGUGUGAAUAAAUGAAUAUAUGAAGUUUUUGACUACCAUCAGCAAAGGUGAAUAAAUAGAAUCUGAUUGAGAUGAUUAUGUUGCCGCACUUAACUUUACGUGUAGCCUUCGAAACCACGUCCUGUUAAAACCUUUGAGUGUCGUUUCGUUAUAUGUAGAUGAUCAUACUUGUUUUUCGAUAAAACGGAUACAGAGCCUAAGACAUCAUUCGCAAGAAAAAUAAAACAAUAUUUCUUUUAAAGAUACUAUAGCUCUAUUUAAAGUUCGGACAGGGUUUGAGAUAAUGUCGGUUAAAACAAAUACCUUGUAUACACAUAUCCCAGGUAUAGCAAAACCGACGGCUUUGGUGAAUUCAGUGAAAAUAUAUAGUGUCACAAAAAUUACCUCGCAUUAAAGGGUUCCAUAAAAGAAGAUUCCAGAAGUCAUUAUCUUGGUUUGUAGUUAUAAUGUUCUAGCUGCGACAAUGUAAUGCAAUUUAAAUCUGUUUUCGAAAGGAAGUUAUAUGAUCACAUCGUAAGGAUGUCUACAGAAUUUAUGGUUUAUUG